CGGAAGUAGUAGACCGUCCGUGAAUCUUUGGAAUACUAUUUUCAACAUUCUACGAUUUGGGACAUACUGAUUCUACUUUCGAAUACUAUUAGGACGGAUAGUAUGCUGAUUGAACGCAGGGAACGUGAAAAACCGCCUGAUUAGAAUCAGUUGGAGGAGUGGGCGUUAAUGAAAAAAACAAUCCAUAAAGCCACGCAGGUGUAAUAUAAUCGUCCGCGACAGUGCUGUCAGACCCAGGCUAUAGACGUCAUAGUUUGUAUGUGACGUCAUGCACUAGGUGUACGCCCCGAUGGAAGGCAAGACGAGACGACACGACACGACGCUCUCUGUCUGCCAGAUUACAAAAAUUGUUUUUUUUUCGUUGCGCCUAAAUACUAAAUAAAUGUUGUGCAAUAAAAUUCACCAACCGACGAGGACAUGCCUGAGCGUUGCUUCUACAAAAUCCCUAGAAGGAAAACCGAGACAGGAGGAAUUUGUGGAUUUUGUGUCAUAAACGUGCCUCGGUUCACAGGAAGGGGAAACAAUGGCAGCGACCAUAGUACACUCGUAUUUGCAGUAAACACGUCAUCAAAGGUCUGUUCCAACAUACCACACAGAGGUAUUCAAUAAAUACCAGAAUAAUUCCUAUAAUCCUGCAAGUGAAGGGGCCACUUCAUUCAAACGUGCUAAUAAAGCAAAUCCAGUGUGACACAGUCUUGUGAACAAUUGAAGACAUGAGUGAUCCAGACACAUGCAGAAUUAAAUAUGAAGAUACUGAGGAACAAAGAGAUUUGUUAAAAGAUGAAGGCGAUGAACUGAAUGAAGAUGAGGAGAAACAUCAGUGUAAGAAACCUCAGAAUUUUCUUAUACUAGAAAUCUCUUCUAGUAGUUUGCAGAAGAACAAGAAGCAAAGGACAGAAGCAGGCAAGUCUUUCACCUGCCCUCAGUGUGAAAAGAGUUACAAACGAAAACAUUAUCUUGAGGAGCACAUGAGAAUUCACACUGGAGAACGACCAUACUCAUGUUCUCAGUGUGGAAAGAGUUUCAAUCGCAAAACAACUCUUGAUGUGCACAUGAGAAUUCACGCUGAAGAGCGCAAAUUCACAUGUCCUCAGUGUGAAAAGAGUUUCAAGCACAAAUCAGCGCUUGGGGAGCACAUAAGAAUUCACACUGGAGAGCGCCCAUACACAUGUCCUCAGUGUGAAAAGAGUUUCAAGCACAAAUCAGCGCUUGGGGCGCACAUAAAAAUUCACACUGGAGAGCGCCCAUACACAUGUUCUCAGUGUGGAAAGAGUUUAAAACACAAAUUGACACUUGUGGAGCACAUGAGAAUUCACACUGAAGAGCGCCCACACACGUGUUCUCAGUGUGGAAAGAGUUUCAAACAAAAAUCAGCGCUUGGGGUGCACAUGAAAAGUCACUUGGAAGAGCGCCCAUACACAUGUUCUCAUUGUGGAAAGAGUUUCAAGCACAAAACAAUUCUUGAUGUGCACAUGAGAAUUCACAAUGAAGAGCGUCCAUACACAUGUUCUCAGUGUGGAAAGAGUUUCAAAUACAAAUCAACGCUUGAAGAGCAUGUGAGAAUUCACAAUGGAGAGCGCCCAUACACAUGCCAUCCUUGUGGAAAGAGUUUUAUACAGAAAAGUCAUCUUAAAGUGCACAUGAGAAUUCACACUGGAGAGCGCCCAUACACAUGUCCUCAGUGUGGAAAGGGUUUCAAACGCAAAACAACGCUUGGGCAGCACAUGAGAAUUCACACUGGAGAGCGCCCGUAUGCGUGUUCUCAGUGUGGAAAGAGUUUCGCACAGGAAAAUAACCUGAAGAUGCACAUGAGAAUUCACACAGAAGAGCACCCAUACACAUGUUCUCAGUGUGGAAAGAGUUUUACAAACAAAAGUAAUUUUGAGGGACACAUUGGAAUUCACACUGGAGAGCGCCCAUACACAUGUCCUCAGUGUGGAAAAAGUUUCAAAGAGAAAUUAACGCUUAAGGUUCAUAUGAGAAUUCACACUGGAGAGCGGCCAUACAUAUGAAAAGUUUGGUUCCAAAACGCUAUAAACGCCAUUUAAAAAAUAAAGAGUUUCCGCCAAAAUCAGUAUUGUAUCGGGUCGGUAUUGAAAAGUCACUUUUUAAUUUUACGCAAAAUGCGAUAUCCGCCGUGUUAUUCUGUCAUGUUUUCUCCCUUUUUUCCAAACGCCAUAUACGGCAGUCUCACUUCUCUGCAGAAUGCGAUAUAUCCGCUCAACCAAUCAGAGCGCACCAUUCCACGCACUGUAAACAGUAAUGGUGGUGCCCUGAAUACAGUCAGCAUCCUAGUUUCCCUGAUCUACUUUGUACUUUGUGUUCAACAAACAAACAAACAAAAAGAAUAAUUUACACGGUAUUGAUGAACCUGUGCUGGUUUCUGCGGUGGGGAAGAAACGUAAGACAUCGAAAUCUAAUCAUUUAUGUGAGGAGAUUAAGAAGACGAGGCACUAAUGUAUAGCAUUAAAAAGAUGACCCGUUGAAUUCAUUUUAGGAGCGAUGACUGAUUAAAUGUAUUUUUAGUGCUGUGCCUGUAUGUAAGAUUAGUAUUGUAUUGAGUUCAGAGGCUGUCGUAUGUGGAUCAACUCACUUUGUUUUGUAUUUUCAACAGUUUCAAUAUGUCAUAUUGUCAUGGAUUUAUUGCAUUCAGUUUUUAUAAUAAAUCUUUUAAAAUAAAAAUCUGGAUUUGAAAUUUUUAUGUUACUAGAACCUUAAGAUGCUAUGUGAACAUUUGAAACAGAAAAUAGUGGUUUUCAUUUUGCCACUUUCUUUGUAAAGAAAACACAUUUUUACUCAAAUUAAUCAAAAUGGAUUUAUAGCGUUUUGGAACCAAACUCUUCAUAUGUCCUCAGUGCGGAAAGAGUUUCAAACAAAAGACAAGUCUAGACUAGCCCAAGAAAAUACACACUUGAGAGUGUCUACGGACAUGCCUUCAACGUGGAAAGAGUUGUCACCAUAAGAGUUAGAAAAGAGUUUGUUUCUCCGUGCUUUCAAUGCAUUAGGUCACAAAGUAAUUCAGAGCUAUAUGCUCUGUAAUUCAGUCAAAUAUUACACAUAGUCUACAAUGCAAACUGUAAUGUAUUAAAGCACAAAGCUGUUUACAGAUGGGGAUUUAGAUGUGAAGCAGAGUGACAAAAUCUUGUUGUUUUCUUAGAAUCUUUAUAUUGUAUUCACAGUUCUUACCUGCAUGUAAACAUGAAGUCAUUAGUCGUAAAGGGAUAGUUUAACCACAAAUGAAAUUUCUGUCAUCAUUUACUCACCCUCAGCUUCUUCCAAAUCUCUGUACAUUUCUAAGUUCUGCUGAAUGCAAUGGACAAUAUUUGGAAGAAUGUCAGUAACCAAACAAAUCCCGUCCCCCCAUUUCCUGGCAUAGUAGGGAAAAUAAAUACUGUGGGAGACAAUUGGGAAUGAGAUUGAUUACUGACAUUCUUCCAAAUAUCUUUGUUUGUGUUCAGCAUAACUAAGAAAUUUAUACAGGUUUGGAACAACCUGAGUGUGAGUAAAUGAUGACAGAAUUUUCAUAUUUGGGUGAACUGUCCCUUUAAGAAUUUAUUUGGUGACAAUAAUAAUACACUCAAUCCCAGCGUCAAAAGUGACUGAUAAAUUCUGUGUAAUUCAUUUAAAAUAUUCACAAUCAGCUGUCAGUUGUGGUUGUUUAACAUCUUUCGCCAUAUAAUAAAUCUAAUAGUAUAUUUUCUUUGUUGCUGUAUGUAAACAGCAAAUAAAUGUGUGGUGAAGGUGUUUUAAGGUUUCCACACAUGUCGCUGUGAUUCCUCGGUGUUCUUUAUUUCACUGAGCCCUUUAUUAACCGGAUGAAUUUCCUGCUACUAGCAACACAUUUAUUUCACUUCAAGAAGGUAAGUUAGCUUUUUCUUAUGAAUUUAUUUUCUUUAUACGGGUAGUACAUUAAAGUCAAGCACACAACUAGAUUGUUUAACCUUCAUAAGAUGAUGGACUCAGUUUGGCUCACGUGGUUUUUUUUACUGCUCAACCAUAUAAUACAAGACGGAGGAAAACACACGGCACUGGAAACAAAAUAAAUAACACCGUAAGGCACAUCCACAAAAAAAAAUGUUGACUGAAAACUUGUAUUUGUCUUCUUUUUUCGUCACUGUCAUAGUAAGUCAGACCGCGGGAUUUCAGUUGUAAUCAUGAAACAUCAGUGAACUCGUUUUGACUGCGGACCAGUGGGAGUGCGCGUGUAUAACUAUCAUUACGGUAAUAUCGGAUCAACGAAAGAGUGUGCGGCACGUAUAACUGUAUUUACGGUAAUAUCAGCAACAACAGAAUCUGCGCCAGCAGAGCGGGAUUUUGUCCAGAAAUGUUUGAGGUCUGUUCCACUACACCACACAGCGAUUUUCAGUAAAGCUUUUCACAAAAAAAUAGAGAAAUAACUCCUGUAAUCCUGCAAAUAAAGGGGACCACUGAAAGUGAUGAACUGGAUGAAGUUGAGAAGAAACAUCAGUGUCAGAAUCUUGUAAUGCUAGAAAUGUCUUCUAGUAGUGUGCAGAAGAACAAGAUUUUCUCGCCAAAAAGAAAUCAAAGAACAGAAGCAGGCAAGUAUUUUACCUGUCCUCAGUGUGGGAAGUGUUUCAAACACAGAGGUCAUU